CGAGUAUGUGGCCAUUUCUCAUCGUUAUACGAUUUAAAAAAGGUAUCAUAGAAAAAGCUAAAUAACAGCUCUUUCGUCCUAUGAAAAAAUUGAAUAGGUAGACUGAAUAAUAGAUUUUGAACUAACUUAUUUUAUAUCUAUUUUAUUGCUUGUAUUUUAAAUUUAGAAGUAGAGAGGGCACAUAUUGAUAACAGUGUCUUGUGCACUGAAAUGUUUUACCCUCUG